rnacentral:lncRNA from 1 species
CCGCACUCAGAAAAACACGCCAAAAAUAAAAUCAAAGUAUAUGUAAUUACUGUUUGAAUUCCUUGAUGUCCAGCAAAGUAAGAUAUCUGUGAGCUAAAAAUGCUCUGAACCUACUCGUUGGGUUGAUGUGCCUCUUUUACACUUCACUACUGAAGCACCAGGUUUCUGGACCUUAAUACAUCUAAGGACAGUAUGUCUGACAAUGAACAAAAUAGGAGGAGAAACAAAGAAGGUUGUGGAAGUGGUGUUGCUCUUCAGAAUGCAGAUAAGCUAAUGAAAGAAAUGCAUCAGCCACACAAAGCUCUAGGAG